GCAUAACGCGAAGAACCUUACCUACCCUUGACAUGUCAGAGAUCCCUGAGAGAUUGGGGGAGUGCCGCAAGGAAUCUGAACACAGGUGCUGCAUGGCUGUCGUCAGCUCGUGUCGUGAGAUGUUGGGUUAAGUCCCGCAACGAGCGCAACCCUUGUCGUUAAUUGCCAUCAUUUGGUUGGGCACUUUAACGAGACUGCCGGUGACAAACCGGAGGAAGGUGGGGAUGACGUCAAGUCCUCAUGGCCCUUAUGGGUAGGGCUUCACACGUCAUACAAUGGUCGGUACAGAGGGUUGCGAAGCCGCGAGGUGGAGCCAAUCCCAGAAAGCCGAUCGUAGUCCGGAUUGGAGGCUGCAACUCGCCUCCAUGAAGUCGGAAUCGCUAGUAAUCGCGGAUCAGCAUGUCGCGGUGAAUACGUUCCCGGGUCUUGUACACACCG
rnacentral:rRNA from 1 species